GCCCCCGUAGCUUAAUGUAUAAAGCGGCACGCUUCGAACGUGCGGGUUGUGGGUUAGAUUCCUACCGGGGGUUCCA
rnacentral:tRNA from 1 species